CUUCUGAUGUUCGGAUGUGUUCGGAGUUUCUUCCUUCUGGUGGGUUCGUGGUCUCGCUGGCUCGGGAGUGAAGCUGCAGACGUUUGCGAGAAAUCUAAAUACAUGACCACAGUUUGAGCUCCUGUCUGAAGAGAUUUUUUAAAGGCUGUUUUCUCAUUAAAGCUGGGAUUUUCAUCAUGCUGAGUUCAGAGGAACUCGUGAGUUAUGACAAAAAGAUAUUAUGACUCCCAUGCAGCGGAUGAAGACAUUGAUGCCCAUGAAAGGUAAUUCAGUUCCAACCCCUUCAGUGACAGCAGAGAGACCCAGGCCACCUUCCUUGAGGAUUUCGGAGCUGCAGCCCACAGCCAGGGCCAGAGUGGACUCAGCUCUCCAACCCACGGUGAUAUUACAAUUCUUGUUGUGUUCCUAGCUGUGGGCUUGUUCACCUCGGGAUGGCAAGGGCGUGGCACAAACACCCCCACAUUUCCAUUCUGUGUUACGAAGUCCGCGUAACUUUUCAAUGUGUGUGACAGACAGGUGAACAAAUGGCUUCUCAUUGUCUUCAUCUGCCAUUUAAAAGGGGUACUCCCUCUUAAUCUGAGGCUGUAAUCAUUUAUUCUGAUUCUGAUUCUACAUCGAUGCCGAUGUCUUGUCCAGGGAUUGCCCUGCGUGUGUGGUGAACCUGGGGGUAGGUCUCUGUUACUGCGUAGCCUGCGCCCAAGAGGACUUCCCUCUGUCCUGCUGUCUGUCUCGGGGUUUUUGGCGGCUGGUCAACCUUGGACCAUCCUCUGUGUCAUCAUUUUAGUCCUUCCCAUGUAGGUCAUCUGAUGUAACAUUGUCCCGUUUGCAUUUGAAAUUGAUGCAUUUAAAUUUAUUUGGAGUAAAUCGCUGAUACAAUUCCACCAGAAACCAACUGCUAUAGCUAAAAUAGUAUUUGCAAGCACAAUGACACCCUCUCAGUAGCUUAAAAGCAUAACUGUUAGUCAGGCUGAUAAAUAAUUAGCAUGCUUUGGCUCUGCCUCAUAUAAUCAGUUCUUAAAAUAAGAUUUCUCUGUGUUAACACAGGACAUCAUAGUUGAAAGUUCUAGCCCCAAAAGUCCAUCUUCCGAUUUUGUAGAAAAUUUCUUGUUUAAAAUAUGUACAGAACAGCAAAAAUGGUUAACUUUCUGCCAAUUUUAUACAAUUCCCAAUGUGAUUUAUUUUCAAGCAAAAGAUCAUUUCUGAUCCACAAGAAAUAAUCAACACCUAAGAAAAUUUAAUGAAAUACAUUAUUUUCUGUCAUGAUGUGAUAAUUGACAAAUUAACUGGUAUUACCACUGAAAUCAUUUUCUUCAUGUCGUUUAUACCUAUUUUUGUGGCUGAUACUUGUUGAGACUUGACAAUUUAUAAGUCAGAUUAAAAAUCUCAGGAAUUAGCUGACAGAAAUUCCAUUUGAGUUUAAAAUAGUUCCCGCUGAGCUUAUUAUAUAUUAUCGUGGCAGUAAAGAUUAUGAAGUCAGGUCCCAAACUUAUUUGACCUACAAAAUGGUUUAUACCAUCAUGUGAAUUAUAAAUAAUAGAGUUUGGGGGAAAAGCCUCUAUAAAUCAAAGGGUGGAAUAGGUUUUAAUAAAAUCACAUUGACAUGUA
ensembl:lncRNA LINC03021 long intergenic non-protein coding RNA 3021